UACGGAGGGGGCCAGCGUUGCUCGGAAUCACUGGGCGUAAAGGGCUUGUAGGCGGCCUGGUAAGUCCGGUGUGAAAUCCCUUGGCUUAACCAAGGAAUUGCGCCGGAUACUGUCGGACUAGAGGCCGGGAGAGGGAAGCGGAAUUCCGAGUGUAGCGGUGAAAUACGUAGAUAUUCGGAGGAACACCGGUGGCGAAGGCGGCUUCCUGGACCGGUUCUGACGCUGCAGAGCGAAAGCUAGGGGAGCAAACAGG
rnacentral:rRNA from 1 species